GGUCUUUCAGGGCUGUGUUUUGGAGAUAAAGCCCGCUUUCUUUGACUGGCGGGCUUUAAAAAAAUUGACAUUUCGAUUGUCAAAGAAAAAUAAGAAAAUUCCAUAUUUUUCCUGCUAAAAGUUGUAUCACACGGGAACAGUUCGGAAACAUCCCAGCUUCUUACCCGCUCAAAAAUGAUUGCUUCUCGUCUAUCCGGAGUUGCUCGCAGCACAGCCGUCGUUCAGCGGCGCGGAUUUUCUUCCGCUCUCGGAGGACUUCCGCAGGUCCGCGUUGCGUUGGCCGAAAAAUUGGUUCACGGUGUGGCUAUCUUCUGCGGUCUGUUGGCUUAUCCGGCCUGGGUAAUUACCCACAUGCGCGACUACAAAGAGAAAAAGUAAACACUGUUAAGUUCGAUGAGGCCUGAUUGUCGCCAUUCAGGCGUUCUAACUUCUAAAGUGAAUCGGAUCAGUUUGAUUGUAAGAGGAAAGUUAGAAAAAUGAUUAAGAAUAAAGUGUAAUAAACCGUGUAAAACUA